CUUUCCCUACGGGGUGCAGCAGGCGCGAAACCUUUACACUGCACGACAGUGCGAUAGGGGGAUCCCAAGUGCACAGGCAUAGCGCCUGUGCUUUUCGGCACCCUAAGGCGGUACCAGAAUAAGGGCUGGGCAAGACCGGUGCCAGCCGCCGCGGUAAUACCGGCAGCCCAAGUGAUGGCCGAUCUUAUUGGGCCUAAAGCGUCCGUAGCUGGCCGCGCAAGUCCAUCGGGAAAUCCACCUGCUCAACAGGUGGGCGCCCGGUAGAAACUGCGUGGCUUGGGACCGGAAGGCGCGACGGGUACGUCCGGGGUAGGAGUGAAAUCCCGUAAUCCUGGACGGACCGCCGAUGGCGAAAGCACGUCGCGAGAACGGAUCCGACAGUGAGGGACGAAAGCCAGGGUCUCGAACCGGAUUAGAUACCCGGGUAGUCCUGGCCGUAAACAAUGUCUGCUAGGUGUGGCUCCCACUACGAGUGGGUGCUGUGCCGUAGGGAAGCCGCUAAGCAGACCGCCUGGGAAGUACGUCCGCAAGGAUGAAACUUAAAGGAAUUGGCGGGGGAGCACUACAACCGGAAAAGCCUGCGGUUUAAUUGGACUCAACGCCGGACAUCUCACCAGCAUCGACUGUAAUAAUGACGACCAGGUUGAUGACCUUGUCCGAGUUUCAGAGAAGUGGGGCAAUGGCCAAAUUUAUUUUUUUUUG
rnacentral:rRNA from 1 species